AGUUUGAUCCUGGCUCAGGACGAACGCUGGCGGCGUGCCUAAUACAUGCAAGUCGUACGCUUUUUCUUUCACCGGAGCUUGCUCCACCGAAAGAAAAGGAGUGGCGAACGGGUGAGUAACACGUGGGUAACCUGCCCAUCAGAAGGGGAUAACACUUGGAAACAGGUGCUAAUACCGUAUAACAAUCGAAACCGCAUGGUUUUGAUUUGAAAGGCGCUUUCGGGUGUCGCUGAUGGAUGGACCCGCGGUGCAUUAGCUAGUUGGUGAGGUAACGGCUCACCAAGGCCACGAUGCAUAGCCGACCUGAGAGGGUGAUCGGCCACAUUGGGACUGAGACACGGCCCAAACUCCUACGGGAGGCAGCAGUAGGGAAUCUUCGGCAAUGGACGAAAGUCUGACCGAGCAACGCCGCGUGAGUGAAGAAGGUUUUCGGAUCGUAAAACUCUGUUGUUAGAGAAGAACAAGGAUGAGAGUAACUGUUCAUCCCUUGACGGUAUCUAACCAGAAAGCCACGGCUAACUACGUGCCAGCAGCCGCGGUAAUACGUAGGUGGCAAGCGUUGUCCGGAUUUAUUGGGCGUAAAGCGAGCGCAGGCGGUUUCUUAAGUCUGAUGUGAAAGCCCCCGGCUCAACCGGGGAGGGUCAUUGGAAACUGGGAGACUUGAGUGCAGAAGAGGAGAGUGGAAUUCCAUGUGUAGCGGUGAAAUGCGUAGAUAUAUGGAGGAACACCAGUGGCGAAGGCGACUCUCUGGUCUGUAACUGACGCUGAGGCUCGAAAGCGUGGGGAGCAAACAGGAUUAGAUACCCUGGUAGUCC
rnacentral:rRNA from 1 species